rnacentral:tRNA from 1 species
GCAGACGUACCGGACGGAGCGGGCGGCGUGAGGCGGCGCCGACCCGGCGGGCGGGGCGGUGGGCACGGGUCCCGCCGUCCGCC